GGAUUAGAUACCCUGGUAGUCCACGCUGUAAACGAUGAGUACUAGACGUUGGUGGCUUAUGUCACGAGUGUCGAAGCAAACGCGUUAAGUACUCCGCCUGGGGAAUACGGUCGCAAGAUUAAAACUCAAAGGAAUUGACGGGGGCCCGCACAAGCGGUGGAGCAUGUGGUUUAAUUCGAUGCAACGCGAAGAACCUUACCUACUCUUGACAUCCUAGGGAUCCUAUAGAGAUAUGGGAGUGCCCGCGAGGGAACCUGGAGACAGGUGCUGCAUGGCUGUCGUCAGCUCGUGCUG
rnacentral:rRNA from 1 species